CCCUUAGAUGUUCUGGGCUGCACGCGUGCUACACUGAGUGGAUCAGCGGGUCAGGUUGCGCGAAAGUGUUUCCUAAUCUUUAAAUCCGCUCGUGAUGGGGAUUGACGGUUGCAAUUUUCCGUCAUGAACGAGGAAUACCUUGUAAGCGCGGGUCAUCAUCCCGCGCUGAAUACGUCCCUGCCCUUUGUACACACCGCCCGUCGCUCCUACCGAUUGAGUGGUCCGGUGAGGCUUUGGGAUCUGAGCGGAAAGAGCGUUUCGCUGUUUCUGCCCGGAAAACUCAGUCGAACCUUAUCAUUUAGAGGAAGGAGAAGUCGUAACA
rnacentral:rRNA from 1 species